rnacentral:rRNA from 1 species
UACAGAGGGGGCAAGCGUUAUUCGGAAUUAUUGGGCGUAAAGGGCGCGUAGGCGGCCUGGCAAGUGGAAGGUGAAAUCCCUCGGCUUAACCGAGGAACUGCCUCCCAAACUGCUUGGCUUGAGACCGGGAGAGGUGAGUGGAAUUCCCAGUGUAGCGGUGAAAUGCGUAGAUAUUGGGAGGAACACCAGUGGCGAAGGCGGCUCACUGGACCGGUACUGACGCUGAGGCGCGAAAGCGUGGGGAGCGAACAGG